rnacentral:rRNA from 1 species
AACGAACGCUGGCGGCGUGGAUUAGGCAUGCAAGUCGAACGCGAAAUGCGGAGGGGUAACUCUCUGCAAAGUAGAGUGGCGAACGGGUGAGUAACGCGUGAGAAACCUGCCUUCAUCAGGGGGAUAACACUCCUAACGGAGUGCUAAUACCGCAUGAGACCACGGGAUCGCAUGGUCCUGAGGUCAAAGGUGGCCUCUAUUUAUAAGCUACCGGAUGAAGAUGGUCCGCGUCCCAUUAGCUAGUUGGCGGGUAAUGGCCCACCAAGGCGACGAUGGGUAGCUGGUCUGAGAGGAUGGUCAGCCACACUGGGACUGAGAUACGGCCCAGACUCCUACGGGAGCAGCAGUCGAGAGGCUUCGGCAAUGGGGAAACCCUGACCGAGCGACGCCGCGUGGGGAUGAA